UACGUAGGGGGCAAGCGUUGUCCGGAUUUAUUGGGCGUAAAGAGCGUGUAGGCGGCCAGACAGGUCCGUUGUGAAAACUAGAGGCUUAACCUCUAGACGUCGAUGGAAACCGUUUGGCUAGAGUCCGGAAGAGGAGAAUGGAAUUCCUGGUGUAGCGGUGAAAUGCGCAGAUAUCAGGAAGAACACCCGUGGCUAAGGCGGUUCUCUAGUACGGUACUGACGCCGAGACGCGAAAGCGUGGGGAGCGAACAGG
rnacentral:rRNA from 1 species